AUCGCAUUACAAAGAUCCAAAGCCUUCACGCUCCGCUCAAAAAAUUCAUGGAUAAACCGAUCCAAAGGCGCCUUAUAAACAUGCGAUCUGUUAUUCAACAGAAUAACUCUAAACUCCUCCUGACAAGACAGGAAACAAUCAAGCAGCUCCCGGAUCCACGAUAGCGAAAGUAAAUCAUCCGACCCGACUGAAGACAGAUCCACGAACCGUUCCGCUACCUUCCUUUGAAAAGCUUCAAGCUCCAGCUCAUAACUGGAUGCCUCAUGCGUGGCUUCCAUUGAAUGAACCUGGUCACGGCGGAGGCUCAAAAUAGAACGGCCAAACGACGCUGACGAUCCCUGAUAAUCCGUCGCAGGCAUUCUCACAUGACAAAAAAAACAUUAAUCACGGACUCAAAUUGCGAUAACAGUGUAUAGAAUUAAACCCAAAUUGAAGGUGAAGAAACCCUAAUUAAGCCGCCGAGAGAUGUAUAAUGAAAGCUCGAAGCAGUGAAGGAAAGCGAUAGAGAGAGCAAAGAAGAAGAAGAAGACAACGAAGAAAUCGAGAAAUGGCUGCGAAACCCUAACGGAAGAAGAAGGGCAUUUAUUGGUGAUUUGUGGACCGCGUUUGA
rnacentral:misc_RNA from 1 species